CGCAGAUCUCGUACGCCCGGAGUCGCUGGGCUCAAAACCCAGAGGUCACAGGUUCAAAUCCUGUCCCCGCUACCA
rnacentral:tRNA from 1 species